ACGAAGGUGGCAAGCGUUGUUCGGAUUUACUGGGCGUACAGGGAGCGUAGGCGGUUGGAUAAGCCCUCCGUGAAAUCUCCAGGCUUAACCUGGAAAGUGCAGAGGGGACUGUUCAGCUAGAGGAUGGGAGAGGAGCGCGGAAUUCCCGGUGUAGCGGUGAAAUGCGUAGAGAUCGGGAGGAAGGCCGGUGGCGAAGGCGGCUACCUGGACAGUGACUGACGCUGAGGCGCGAAAGCUAGGGGAGCGAACGGGA
rnacentral:rRNA from 1 species